UACGGGGGGGGCAAGCGUUGUUCGGAAUUACUGGGCGUAAAGGGUUCGUAGGUGGCCGACUAAGUCAGACGUGAAAUCCCUCAGCUCAACUGGGGAACUGCGUCUGAGACUGGCCGGCUUGAGUGCAGGAGAGGAACGCGGAAUUCCAGGUGUAGCGGUGAAAUGCGUAGAUACCUGGAGGAACACCGGUGGCGAAGGCGGCGUUCUGGACUGCUACUGACACUGAGGCGCGAAAGCCAGGGGAGCAAACGGG
rnacentral:rRNA from 1 species